CACUGGUCGAGUCGGCCUGCGCGGAAGAUGUAACGGGGCUAAACCAUGCACCGAAGCUGCGGCAGCGACACUAUGUGUUGUUGGGUAGGGGAGCGUUCUGUAAGCCUGUGAAGGUGGCCUGUGAGGGGUGCUGGAGGUAUCAGAAGUGCGAAUGCUGACAUAAGUAACGAUAAAGCGGGUGAAAAGCCCGCUCGCCGGAAGACCAAGGGUUCCUGUCCAACGUUAAUCGGGGCAGGGUGAGUCGACUCCUAAGGC
rnacentral:rRNA from 1 species